rnacentral:lncRNA from 1 species
GUUGAGUACGUAGGUCCAUCAUUUUCAAGUGUGAUUGUCCCGUUCAACACAUUAUGAACAGCAGUCUUUCCUCCACAUUCUGCCCAAAUAAUACUUACAAAUGUUAUAAAAAUCACUCCACAUAGUCCGACAUUCACAGUAUGGCACAUUAUGUUAUAUCAGUAGGUGUUUUUAUACGAUAUUUUGGUCGCUAAGGUAAUAUUUAUAGUUCGUUUCACUGCCAUCUCUAGGCGCG